ACUCAUAACAAAAUAAAUUACAAUUACGUAAAUUUUUUAAAUAAGACGAAUGGUCAAACAUGUGAGAAAAAGUCAACGGCGUCAUCUAUUAAAAAACGGAGGUAGUAUAAAUUUUGUAUACAUGCUUUCCGUUAUGGUGCACUAAUUGAUAGCUGUUACUCUCUCCUAGUCUCCUGAGCUUAGUACUUGGUACCUUAAAAGAAAGGAUAUGUAUUAAGUUGGCAUACUUCAUUUCAGAUCACAGUUUAGUGACAUAGAUCAAUAGUUUGGCACUGAGGGGGACAUUGGUCAAAACAGGUAGGUUGAAAUUACUUAGAUUUAUUUCAGAUCAAAAUUUAUCAUAUUAAGCAAAAAUUUGUCAUGUCCAUUUGUUUCUUAUGCCUCUGAAGGCAAUUACAAUGUAUGCGUGCACUACUAGGCGAUCUUUCUUACUGAUUUCUAUUACCCUUUCUCUUAUCAAACUUUUCAAAAUACUUUAAUGAACUGAAACCCAAAUUCCAAGUAAAUAUGCACUUAUUAAGCUGCACAGACAUUUGCUAGAACAUCCAAAGGUAGUAUAUAAUAUGUAUUUAAUUUAAAGCUUAUUGCAUGGAACCUUUUCAUUUGCAUAUUAUACUAUUCAUGGCAUGUAGUUGCAUAAGCUUUUCUCAUCCUUACUCUUCUUUGCUCAUAAAUCCAACACAUGCUUUUGGCCUGUAGAAUUUAUUGGCAGAUCCCUGGAGUGGUGUCUUAAAUGAUUUGUUGAUGAAAUAAUUUUCUUUCUAGAACCACAAGAAAUACCUAUGUUUGCUUUUUUGCAAUAACCACCUGAACAUAUUAAGCAGAAAAAAAAUCCUAGUUAUUCAGGGUCCAGAUUAGGUCACACCAACACUUAUGUUAGCCACUAGCUAGUGAUGUUACCGAUACCUAAGCAUGAUGCGAUCUUCCUAUUUUAUUAUCUUUUCUGUAACAGAACAUGCUUUCCUUAUUUUAUUGUGUUUUCUUUGAUACACCUGGGAAAGUUUUUGUUUGAGGUGUAUUACAAUGACAGGGAGGUUCCUGCCAUUUGUUUUUCCUCUAAGGGAUAAGGAUAUUUUAUUAUUACUUUUUUUAAACAAAAACUAGCCAAGAGCCCAUGCGUUGCAAGAAAAAACAAAUCGAGUGCCUAGCUUAUUAAGUAGUACCUUUAUGAUUUUCCUUCCUGAACAAUUAGGUGAUUUCAAAAUUUAGAGAUAGCUAGGAAUGAAACAUAAGAGGACUUGUUAGAGUGUGGUGUAAUAGUAUAGAUUGUGAGGCCCUAAUGUCAGUGGUAGGGGUGAUGUGGCAGAAUGGACACCACCACUGCUAGCAUUUUCAUGGUCAUGUUUACUUGCUAUACUCGCAUCUUUGGGAAAGCUGGAGUAGUCAUAUGUAAGUCUGUAACUUAGAUUCCAUAGUACCUCACGUCACCCUCAAGCUUAAUAAAUGUUGAAAGGCAUCAUUUUUUAGCUGAUGUACUACUCCUUCCGUCCCAUAAUAUAAGGGAUUUUGAGUUUUUGUUUGCACUGUUUGACCACUCGUCUUAUUCAAAAAAAUUUGGAAUUAUUAUUUAUUUUUUUGUGACUUACUUUAUUAUUCAAAGUACUUUAAGCACAACUUUUCGUUUUUUAUAUUUGCAUAAAUUUUUUGAAUAUGACGAGCGGUCAAAGAGUGUAAGCAAAAACUCAAAAUCCCUUGUAUUAUGGGACGGGGGGAGUAUUUGAUUUGUAAGACCAAAUUGAAUUGGUUGAUUUCUUUAGUUGAUAAUUGAUGCUUUUUUGGUUGCUAUAAUUAAUUUGUAGUCCGCAAAGAAAUUAUUGCGGAAGGGCGUUGCAUAAAUUAAGAGAAUUGUGACUAGCUGUACAUGCCAUCAAUACAUACAUGUUUUUUCCUAUACAGGGUGUUUAGCAGUACUGCAGUAAGCACAGAAUGGUAGAUGUGGAAACGUGGUAUUUUCGUCACUAAUUGUAGGUCUGAUGUUCUAAUGUCUUGUUUAAUCUUUUGGUGUCAACUGUAGAGCAUUAUUGCCUCUUGGAAUAAAUAGGUUGUAUAUCCUUUCAUUUGUUAUUGUUCAGUGAGAGGCUCUGAUAUGUGCAGCUUCCCAUCUUAUGGCUUGAUUAUUGAAUACUGGUCCAGGUUUCGUGCAUAAAUCUUUGUGGGCACACAAUGAACCAUUUUUACCCCCGAACACACUCCCCGCACUAGACCCUUCUUCGAUUAAUGGAUAUCUUGCUGAUGUAUCUAUCUCUUGUCUUUGGAUUGAUCUGUAGUCAACGUUAGUUAUGUCUGAAAAUAUACAUUAACUAAAACCCUGGCAUGAGGUCAAAGGAUUAAGAUUUUCCUGUUUCGGUACAUGCCAUAUGAUGUCAGUGUGUAGAUUGGCUAUGUGUUAGUUAAAUUUCUUCUACUAGUGUAACCCUUACAUGGACUGUUUAUAAAGUAUUCACUGUUUGUGGUGGCAAACAAAACCUGUCAUAACAUGCCUGUUUUUGUAGCACUGCUUGAUUCAACCCACUUUCUCACAUUAUACUCCCUCCAUUGCACAUUACUUGUCGUUCUAGCAUUCAAUUUUUUUAAUCAAAAUACUUGUCAUUCUCACAUUUCAAAGCACUUUUAGAGGUAACCUUCCCUCUCUACUCUUCAUUAAUGUAGUCACAAUUCUUAUUGGCUCGUCUGCUUGGGGAAAAUAAUUAGGAUGUACUUAAUGAGUGUAACAAUGUAAUAUACCACAUCUCCUUGGUUUGUGUGAGAUUUGCUAGAAUGACUAGUAAUUUGAAACAGAGGGAAUAGAUAUCUAAAAUUGGAAUUUGCUGUUCUUCAGAUUUGUGUCAUUGUGUGUAUGUAUAACUUCCAGAUAAUAAGGUCUUCCAUCAUAAUUCAUUAGAAGCAUUAUUUAGUUAUCUCUUC